UGAAAGCGUGCCUCUGGUGGGGCUGAGUUGGUAAACACCAGCAGGGGCAUUGACCAACUGUUGUGACUGUGAAUCUACUGCUCUUGGAGUUUUGUCAGCGAGGCGGCAGUGUGUGGCUGCUGCCUGCCAUCAGGUGCCUUGCACUGAGGUCAGACUGCAAAGGGAAGCUAAGGGUGCAGGCACUUAGUGACCUUUUUUGUCACUGAAGGAAUUUCUGCAGGGCCCGCUUAGAGCUGGGAAGGUGUCUUUUCCAUCCAGGCUCAGCCCACACUGUCAUAAUGAUCUCCUGAUAUUGGCACAGCCACCAUGAGCUCUGCGGUUUGUUAUUGUGCUGCUGUGACACCGAAAAACACCAACUCUGGAGAAGAAUGGCAACUUUUCUUCUGCCUUGAGAGACAAGAAUAUCUGGAGGGGUUUCUCUGGAGGACCUCAGGAAAGUGGCAACAGGGAGGCAGAUGUGUGCCUCAGCACUUCAGUUAUAUACAUGUGUUGAGUCCUUUGGAUGAGAAAAGACAACCAUGAGAUGUGGAAAGGGGAACAGUGAGCACAAAGACACCCACCCCCUAAAGGAUGCACGAAGCUCCUUGGUCAUUGAAGCGUAGUCAGGAGCAAUUCAGAUUUGCAUCUCAAGACGUCAUUGCUGGGACAUCCUGGGCUGAGGCACUUCAUAUGGAAUCUGCUUUGGUAUGUACUCUGUGCUAUUUCAUAGACUUCUAGAUUCUAUAUUAGUGCAUUAACCCUUUUUUGUCCAGAGUCUGAUAAUGGUAAGUCUUCAUUCUUAAUAGGCCUACUCUGUUGUCCAGGCUUUGGGCUAUUUAGAACUUACACCCUGCGUUAUUUCAUGAACACCUGCAGUCUCUUGGUACUCUUAAAGUGCAUUUUUGACUGCAGAAUUUACUAGAAUGGCAAAGCGAUUUUCUGCCCAGCUUUUUUUUUUUUGUGAAAUUGGGUUGUUGUUCUUACUGAUAAUCUUGCUGUUGUUUUCGUCUUACCCUGUUUACUUAAUACUCCUUCUGUGGGCAGUUUCAUGCGCUAGCCUAGAUGAUGCAGGAAUUGUAAUGCAUCUGCUGAGGUGUGUUGUUACACCAGUUUAUGUGGCCAAGGAGAUGAAUUGAUUAUUGAACACUUAGGUCUCAUUUGAAAGAACGUUAUGGCAGGGCUGAGGAGUCACUGAACAGAUACUGGGCUGAAAUUAAGGGAUAGAAGACUUUCCUGAUUCAUGAUCUCAUAAACAUCUACUGGGAAGGCAAGGUAAACCCAGAGGAAUGGCUUUUCAAGCCAUGGCUUGAAAAAAUUCACAACAAGAGUGGUUGUGAGGCUCAAAGUGUGGCUGAUUCAUGGAAUGGAGAAGGGGGAAUGAAGAAU
ensembl:lncRNA